rnacentral:lncRNA from 1 species
UGCACCCACAACACUAUAAAAAAGACUCAAGACAAUACACACGGAGGACGGACGAAAACCAGAAAAGAGAGACAACACUGCAAAAACGAAAACAAAAAAAAAAAAUGAAAAACACAUGGAGAAGAAAAAAGGGAGACAACACAAUACAUACACACAACAAAGACAACGUACAACAUUUGAAACAAAGAAAAGGGAAGAAAAGAAAGGAAAGAAAGGGUUGCGAAUCAAAUUUCGGGUCUCCGUUUGAGUUUUCGAUAACGACGUCAAUUUAGUUUUCUAUAUAGGUUUUAUUCGAUUUCAACAUUAUUUAUAUAUUUUUUUUUAUCACAAUUCAAAGUAUAAAUAAUAUCCUUUAAAUGGUAAUAUCCUUUAAAUGGUUUUAUGCAUCAUGUAGUAUGAAAAUUUAAUUAUUUAUGUGAGAUCUCAUCUUUAACAUUGUCCGUUCUUAAAUUUCAAUAUUACUUCCCAUUUACAUUUAGAUGGUAUCUACGUGACUUUGUGAUACCUUUUUUCUAUAUUAUUCAUUUUGUCGAGAAGUAAAAAAUGUAUAUAAGUAGAUAGCUAAUCAUUAAUUAUUUUUUUUAUUAUUGUUCGUUUAACAAAGAAUCUUCCAAAUAAGGAAAAUAUUAUGGCUUGUUUGGUAUAAAGGACCCCAGGCAGACGACUUUGAAAGAAGCAAAAAAAAAAAUAUUUUUCUCAAAAUAAAAAGUGACUUUAACAGAAAAUUGAUUUAAUAAAAAAUUGGGUCUUUAGUUGAUUUACUCUAUUAUUUCUAGUUGGGUUUGUUUUGGUAUAUUCUUAUGACAUAUUAUUAGUCACAUAAUAGCAACACUUAGAAUCAAUAGUGUGUAGAUUCAGUUACUUUUUUUUUUUUUUAAAACUUAUCUACCUUGAUAUUUAAAUUAAUUGAUCGUUACUCAUUUGUUUAAUAAUUUGAGAGAGGGAAUUUGGUUCUAGAUUAAUAUAUAAUGUCCGGGUAGUUUAGUUGUAAGUAGUGAGGAAGAUGGGUUACGGAUUUAUCUAAAAUUUGUCAUAAAUGAUAAAAGGAAAGAAAGGAAAAAUUGAUUUGAGGGAGCGAGGCGAGUUGCAGAAUAAUUCAAAACUCGUUGGAAAAUAAAGAGUGAAAAAAAAUAAAAAAUUGAAUAAGAUAAAACGUCUUGAGUUUACAAGAGCCGAAAUGAACGCCUUUUACGCUAGGUAAACUUUAGACCCGUUUAAAUUUUUCGUCUCAAUUAAGAAUGCGGCACAAGAGAGCAUAUUGUCCUCAAAUUUAAUAAAUUAUUUUUCCAAAUUUUUUUUAAAUUUUUAUAAAAUUAACUUUUCACCUAUUUAUUUAAUAUAAGAGAAUAGAUAAGUUUUAGAAUAAUAAAAAUGAGCAAUUUUAGGCCUUAACAUAAUUUAUUAAAAUAAUUUAAGUCAAGAUAAGUCAAUAAAAGCGAUCGUGCUAGAACCACGGGACUCGAGGGAUGCCUCACACCUUUCCCUCGGUCAACAGAAUUUCUUACCUGGUCCUCUAUUUUUGUAGACCAAUAAAAGAGUCAUUUUUUUUUAAUUAGGGAUUCAAAAAGGUGACUUGGACCACCAUAACUCAAUUCCAAGUGGUAACUCUAAAAAUGAUAAAAAUAAUUUCUAUUCAAAACCGUCACUUUAAUUGAAAAAAUUAAUUCGAUCCUCGAGCGAAAAAGGGGUGUGACAUCUCUAGAAACUCUGCUGAAAAAUAUUAGAAUUUGAGCUUUUAAUAUUGACUUUUACUUGCUUUAGUUAUUUUGAGAUUGUGUUUGUUGGCUUUAUGUGCUACUUGUCGCUCAUUUACUGCUUUAAUAUUGUUGAACUGUUUUUUAAAUUGUUUUCUCUUGCGCACCCUCCUCUGAGUCUCUGAAAUAGGAUAGAAGGAAUGCAACGUAAACAUCCUACUUUCUUCUUAAGAUAGCCGGAGUGUCAAGGCACCCGUUGAAGGAUUAUAGUCACACAUGUUAGGCGGGGUUCGGAUCGACAACGAAGGCGGAGUAGCACUGCUAACGAAUAAGUUGUCCCUCCCUGAAUCGAUGUCCGCUCGGGUAAGCCAGUCUAGACACUUAUCUCUAUCAGGCUAAACUUAUAAGAACUGAAAACUAAGAAUCUGAUUAUCCUAUUAGGUUCCGCUUUAUUUGCAUCAUAUGCAUUUGACAUAGCGGGACUCUACACAGGGGGUCGUGUAUGUCUAGGAUAGGUGUCCCUCUAUAAUGACCAACAUGUACAUCGUACGUGCUCUUUGACAUUUAUCUGGAAGGCUAUUUGAUUGCUGACCGGCUUUUAGGCAACUUGGUAAAAUACAAGAGAGCAUAUUGUCCUCAAAUUUAAUAAAUUAUUUUUCCAAAAAAUUUAAAAAUAUAUGUAAUUUUUUAAGGUCUUCAUGAACUACGAAGGUCUGAUUCUCACUAUUUAGUGGGAUACGUAGGAAGCCUUUUUCGGGGUGCGGCCCUAUCUUUUGAAAAAUUAUUUAUAGAUUUAUCGAAGAAUACUUUGAAAAUAUGAUUACUUUCAUAAUUAUUUUUCUAAUCCUCAAGUCCAAUUUUUAUCUUAAUAGCCCUGAAUCUUUAGCUAUCAUGAGGUUAAGUCUUUACAAAAUAAAAUAUAUAUAUAAAUUUUAACAGCCCUGAACCUUUAGGGGUCUUAAAGUUGAAUUUUGUAUGACAUAUAUUUCAAGAACUACACACACCUGAUUCUCACCUUGAUGAGAUACGUAGGCAACCCAUGCCGGGUUCGGUAAUAUUCUUAAGAAUUUUUUUUGAAAAUGUCAAGUUUUGACACAUUUGCUAUCUCAAAAAUCAAAAUAAUAUCAAGGUGGUUGAUUUGUGGCUAAAGUGGCAUCUCGCCAAUACAACACUAGGUUUAAAGAAUAGGCAAGAUAACACAUAAAAAUAGUAUAGGGUCUGAGAUGAGGUGGUGUAGACUGUUAAAAAUGAGGAAAUAGAAGAAAUGGCCAGGAAGGUGAGAAGUUUGGAGCAAAAUAAGAGAUACAUUCAAGUACUUGGAGGGGAAAAAAGAGUUUCUUACGAGGAUUUAUACAUGUUUCAUAAUGUUCACUUGCCUUUACAGUUCAAACACCAAAGUUGGACAUGUACGGAGGUCAUGGUGAUUCUUUGGCUCAUCUGAAAAUAUUUUGCAAUCAACUAAGAGUAGCAAGCAAAAAAAACUAUUGAUAACUUAUUUUGGAUAGAAUCCGGUGGAGAUAAAUAGUUUCAAAAUGGUUCAGGAUACUUUGGGCUUAAUAAAAAAUCCUGAUGAGGUAGCAAUGAUUAUGGAGACUUCAUUAAAGCUGACGUACAAAUCAGUGGCUAAGAUGUCAAACUCGAAAAUUCAGAAGUCACUUUUCUUCCCGUAAAAAGAAAGCCUUGGUAGUCUGUUUUGUUUUCCUUUCUAUUACCCGAAUUAUUUUAGGAUUGUAGUUCAGGAUCUAGCUCGUCUUAUUUUAUUAUUAUUUCUAUUCAAACCCUUUUAUCUUUAUGUCAACAAAUGUGUGUCCCUUUUAUUUUUACUUUCUUUUUCAAUAUAUAUUGUUUGAUUGUCUUUCUUUUCUUUAGAGAGCUCUUUCUAUGGUGAUUCUAGUGAUAUGAUAUGCAUUCUGAAUUUUUAUCGGAUCUUAAAAUCUAAUCUAAUCCUGGAACACUUGAUCAAGAAGAUAGAGUUGAAAGGAAAAAAUAUGUAAGGAAAUAAGUAAAGUGUUGAGGCAUUUGUUGACCGAGUUAAAGCCUCACUUGAAUGGAUUAAAGCAAUCGCUUUGUGUAUAAAAAAUGACCUAGUCAUCAACGAGAAGGUCCAUCUCAAGUACUUCAAAUGGAUCAGUCAGAGGUUAUAUAUUCUUCAUUUUCAGGAGAAGCAAAAGGAAAUUAGCUUAAAAAACGAAUGAGUCCUUUAAUGGUGGGAAUGUGAAUGUAAUUGGACCUUUAUGUUUGACAAGUGCAUAAGUAGUAACAUACAUGCUCAGUCGAGGUCAAUGUUAAAAAAAUGUGUGUGUGUGAUCUUUAUGUUCCACUCUCAGAUUGCAUGUUAAGUACUUGCAUUUUUAAGGAUUGAUAUGAUGAAAGCAUUUCAUUCUGCUACCCAAACGUUGUGUUAUCCUCUGUUACCCCAUUUGAGCUUAGUUUUAUUUUCUUUCUUACCCCUCUUUUGGAAUUAAAAUAGAGUUUGAAAAAUAAAAAAAGAGGGUGUCAAGAAAAACGAGUCAGAAAAAAUAUAAAAAAAAUGGAGUUGAAAAAAGUCCCAAAUGAGAAGAAUCAAAGAAAAGAGAAACAAAGAGCCAAAGUUCGAUAAAAAAAAAGCAAAAGAAUGACUUGUCUGAACUACGUUUGACCUGAUUUUUGCUAUGACAAGAUACGUAGGAAGUCCUACUCGGGGGUUCGGUCCAACCAAUUGAAAAUUCAAGUUACCCAGUAUGAAAUAAAAUUGGGGCAAAAAAAAUUAUUUUUCUUAAGAUUCAAUUCCAAAAGUUGUAUGCUUCACUCAAUGUUAUGUAAAAUUUUGAGCCUCAUGCCACCCUUUCUUUCUAACUCUAUCCAAAAGUCAAGUUAUAAUCAAAGAAAGUCCUUCAGAUCAAUCUGUGAGAAUGUCAAGGCUAAAGAUGUUAUGGGUGCAUGAUGUGUCAUAUUUUGGAUGUCGUUUUCCUAAAAAAAAAUAUAAUAAUAAAAAAAUGAGAGUCUUAUUGGUGAAAACCUUCUUUGGCACUAUAAGGCGACGUUGAGUUGUGAGAACAAUUAAAAAUGAGAGAGUUUUAUUGGUGAAAAUCCUCAUGGGCACCAUAAGGCGACAGUGAGUUGAAAAAGAAAUAAAAAUAGGAGUGGCUCAUUGGUGAAAACCCAUUGAGGUGCCACUAGCCUAAGGGGGAUUGAAAUCCAGAGGGAACAAGUUCAAGAAUGACUCCAUUCCAAAUUCAAUGAGCGGAAAAAAGUUGAUAGUUAUUAGUUUGGAUAUAUCAAGUUGUUUAAUUCAAAAUGCAUGUCAUAAUCACUAGAAUCAGCUGCCAUACCCAGAUAAGUUUUUCUUUUUGACAUUUUUGAAAAAAAGAGAUGUCUAUUAUCUUUUUCUUUUCUUUUUGUUAUUUUUAUCUUAUUUAUUUAUUUAUUUAUUUUUAUUUUAUUUUUGAUUUUUGUGUUUUUGUGGUCAAAAGAAAAAUCACUAUCGUCAUCUUUCACAUAUUUUUGAGUCAAAUUUAUAUUAAGACAAGUGAGGAAGGACUUCAAAACUUGCUACCAAUUCCUUCCAUGGUACAAAGCAAGAAAAAAGACCGACACACGAAGAUAACAUGUUUCAAAAUAAAUCAAAGUACUAAAGAAUGCAUGUCAUCCGAUAGUUUUUGGACUCAUAAAAGUAUGAAGGGUGUGUUUGAAGUUAAUCCCAGAAGCAUCAUGCAAGAGAAAUAUGAUUUGAGUCAAAAAGUUUCAGUAGAAAGAAUUUGGGGGUUAAAAGUGCAAGUCAAUGAUACUUAUCAAUGAUUGAAAUGGAGCUGAGUAUGAUAAGUGCAAGAAUGGUCACUUUAAGAGUCAGGUGCCACAAAUCAACGACCACAUUUUUAAACGAUAAUUUGUCUUUGUUUGAAAUAGAGAGAAAUAUUUCUCUCAAUUCAAAUGCUUUAAAGUUUAGCUAUUAACAAGAUGCAAUUUCUCACUUUUACAGAAGUAAGAAACAAUAUUGUUAUACAUGUUUGAUAAUCACAAUCAUAGUGAAAACUUAUCAUCCUAUACCCCUAGAAGACACACUUCCUUGUCUGGAUAUUUCAGUUUUUAUUUGUUAGGUAACACACUUCCUAACAUGAAUCAUUACUCCUAGAAGACGCACUUUCUAAUCGAGUCCUUUAUUUAACUCGUAGGAGACACACUUCCUAGUUUGAAUAUUUCAAGUUUUAUUUGUUAGGUAACACACUUCCUAACUUGAAUCUUCACUCCUAGAAGACACACUUUCUACUUGAGUCAUACCAUUUACCCCUAGGAGAUGCAUUUCCUUGUCUGGGUAAUUUCAGUUUCAUAAAUUAGGUGACACACUACGUAACUUGAACCUUCACUCCUAAAAGACGCACUUUCUAGUCGAGCCCUUUCAUUUAACUCCUAGGAGAUGCACUUUCUUGUUUGGGUAUUUUAAUUUUCAUGUGUUAGGUGACGUACUUGCUAACUUGAAUAUUCACUCCUAGAAGAAACACUUACUAGUUUAGUCAUUUCAUUUAACCCCUAGGAGACACACUUCCUAAAUAGGGUAUGUCAGUUUUCAUAUGUUAGGUAAUGCACUUGCUAACUUGAACAUUUACUCCUAGAAGACACACUUUCUAGUCGAGUCAUUUCAUUUAACCCCUAGGAGACGCACUUUUUUUUUUUGAGUAAUUUAAGUUUUCAUAUGUUAGGUGAUGCACUUCCUAACUUGAACCUUCACUCCUAGAAGACACUUUUUAGUUGAGUUAUUUUAUUUAACUCACUAGGAAACACACUUUUUUGUUUGGGUAAUUUAAGUUUCACGUGUUAGGAUCCGCACUUCCUAAUUUUGGUCAUUAGUUUUACUCUGAAAAGACACAUUUCUUUAGCAGGGCCUUGAUUCACCCUUUUUAGUGUACUUUUAAAAAGUUGUGAUUUCAUAACACUCACAAAAUUUUCUAGUGCAAACUGGGGCAAAAUUUUAUUCUUGUUUAAUAGAAUUUAUUAUUAUGCUCAGGUCCCUCUUGAAGAAUGGAAAUUUAUUUUAUAUUCAGGACCCUCCUGAAGAAUGGGACAGGACCCUCCUAAAGAAUGAGAAUUUAUUUUAUGCUCAGAUCCUUUCUGAUGAAUGGGACAAGACCCUCCUAAAGAAUGAGAAUUUAUUUUAUAUUCAGGACCCUCCUGAAGAAUGGGACGGGACCUUUCUGAAGAAUGAGAAUUUAUUUUAUGCUCAGGACCCCCCUGAAGAAUGGGAAUUUAUUUUAUGCUCAGGACCCUCAUGAAGAAUGGGACAGGAAUCUCCUGAAGAAUGAUAAUUUAUUUUAUGCUUAGGACCCUCCUGAAGAAUGAGAAUUUAUUUUAUGCUCAGGACCCUCCUGAAGAAUGGAAAUUUAUUUUUUGCUUAGGACCCUCCUGAAGAAUGGGAUGUUAUUUUUCUGUUUCACCUUUUAUUUUGAGUUCAGAAACAUAUUUGAAAAUCAGGAAAAGCAAGUCAGGAACCCGCCUGAAGAACAGGGUAAAGAAAAAAGCAAAUCAGGAGCCCGUCUGAAGAACAGGGUGAAGAAAUAGUAGAUCAGGAACCCGCCGGAAGAAUAGGGUGAAGAUUGUCAAGUUCAAGUCAGAGGAAAGUUUGAAGAAUAAAUCAAUGAUCAAGUUCCUCUCUAAUGUCAAAAGCCAACGAGAAGAAAAAUUUCGUGUUUCAAGUUCAAGUCAGAAUAACAACUAUCUCACCAUUUGAGAAGUCAUGAAGAUUCAAGUCAAGAUUCCAGAAAUACAGCAUAGAUAGGAUCUUUCACUUGCAUCUUCAUUUUAUUUUUUGUUAUUCAUUUUAAUGUAAAAGCAGAAAGUCAAAAAUUGAAAACUCGACGGAACCUCACUCGACCUCUAACUCGUCCUUUCGCCAUUUUACCUUUGAACUACAUGUGACUUGAUUCCCUUAAAACCUGGGAUGUGUAGGCGGUCCAAAAUCAGGACUCGGCCACAUCUUUUAUUUUAUUUUAUUUUAUUUUAUCUUCACUUUUAGAAUAAUCGGAGGGUCAAAAAUCAUCUCUUUGUCUACUUUUUUGCAUGAAAACUCUUCGAGAUUCAAACAAAGAGGGGCAAAAUAUAGACACGUGAUUUUGGCCCUUCUCGAGUUUAAUAUAUAUAUUUUUCGAUAUUAAAUAUUUAUAUUUGGUCCGAUAUUAUUUUAAUUCUUAUUUCAUUUUUAAUGAAUUUUUAGCUAAAAAUAAAUACAUAAAUAAAGUCACAUUUUGGGAUAUUUUAUUUUCAAUUGUUUAAAAUAAUAAUAAUAAAAAAAAUCAAAAAAAUAUAUAAAAAUAUAUUUCUCUUUUAAUUUUAAUAAAUAAGUUAGUAGUUUUAUUAUUAUAUUUAUUUUAGGCUAUUUAUAAAAUUUUAUUGUAUUUUAUUAAAUAUAAAAUUAAUUAUUUAAUAUUUUUUAAUUAUUAUUAAUAUUAUUUAUUUUUAUAUAUGUUAAUUAAUUUAUUUAUUUAUAUAUAUAUUUUUUAAAAAAUAAGUGAAAUCUUAUCCAUAGAACCACCCCAACUUCCCCAUAUGCACACUCCCCUUUUUCCUCUCAACUCCUCCCUCCACAUGUUCUCAACUUCCUACACUUGUAACACGUACCCACUACACUAUAAAAAAGGCUCAAGACAAUACACACAAGGACGGACAAAAACCAAAAAACGAGAGACAACACUGGAAAAACAAAAACAAUAAAAAGAAAAACACUUGGAGAAGAAAAAAGGGAGACAACACAAUACAUACACACAACAAAGAUACCGUACAACAUUUGAGACAAAGAAAAGGGAAGAAAACAAAGGAAAGAAAGGGUUGCAAAUCAAAUUUUGGGUCUCCGUUUGAGUUUUCGAUAACGGCGUUCUUGCUUCCAUACUCAAUUUAGUUUGCUAUACAGAUUUUAUUCAAUUUCUACAUUAUUUAUAUGUUUUUUUUUUUUUUUUUAUCACAAUUCGAUGUAUGAAUAAUAUCUUUUAAAUGGUUUUAUGCAUCAUGUAGUAUGAAAAUUUAAUUAUUUAUGUGAGAUCUCAUCUUUAACAUUGUCCGAUCUUAGAUUUCAAUAUUACUUCCUAUUUACAUUAAAUAUAUAUAAGUAGA